GGCCGGUUAGCUCAGCUGGUUAGAGCGUGGUGCUAAUAAUGCCAAGGUCGCGGAUUCGAUCCCCGUACUGGCCA
rfam:Danio rerio chromosome 4, GRCz11 reference primary assembly.